CAAUAAUAAUAAUUUAAAUAUUUGUAGUAAAUAAUCAAUGGAGAACUAAAUUUGUGUAUACUUUGUUUGGCAGAGCGAAGAAAAAUAAAAUAAAUGAAAAUAGAAGAUAAAUAAUUAAAAAAAAAAAGAAAAUACAGGUGAAAUAUUUUUUUCUUAUAAAGCUUUUCAUGUAAAUCAUCUUAUCUAUGCGACGAUUUACAAAAGUUGGAAUUUGGAAACUACAGACUGAAAGCUCUCGUGUGCGCGCUGGUUGUUCCCUGGCUCUCUAUCCCCUGGACCUACAAGCUUUACGACUUCGAUAGCAAUAGCAAGACAGCUUGAAACUCGCAGGAAUUUUGGAGAGAACAUCAAAUUUAUUAAGGAAAUUCUAUAAUAGGAGAUAGUGUGAAAAAAAUAUAUUGUCAAGUUUUAAUUUGUAAAUAUAGCUAUUAGAAAGUUAUGGACACACUACUUUUUGAAUUUGUAAUGGCUAGUAUUACUACAGAUUUUUGGUGUAUUACUUUUAUGACUAGACUCACUAGAGUGACUUCUAUUCUAUUUAUUAUAAUAUAAAAUAAUGCCCUAAAUUAGGA